UAGAGAUAUUGACACAUGAGAUGGUGUUAAGCACUACUGGUACCUUUUAACAUUUCUCUUUAAGAUUUUAGUAGUGUUUAGUACCACUUAAAAAUGAGGUUUUACGAUAUUGCAUGAAAAUUAUUACAUUAAAGUAAAUAAAAUAAGUUAAUUAUGAUUUUUACCCCCUGAACUUUGACAUGUACCAAAUUAUGCCCCCUAAACUAUUGAUAUUGUUGGAUUGAAGGACUUUUGUCUAAUUUUAUUCAAUUUUACCAUUUCAAUGAUUGUUUAUGUACUAAACUAUGUUCUCCAGACUUUGAUAUCUACCAAAUCAUGCCCUUCGAACUUUGACAUGCACUAAAUUAUGCCCCUUGAACUUUCAUCCAUGUUAGACUUUUUUACUAAAAUUAAAAAAAAGUUCUUAAAUCCAACAAUCUCAAUAGUUCAAGAGAUAUUUUCAAUGACCUUAAAAGUUCAGGGGCAUGAUUUGGUACAUGUCAAAACUCAAAGGGCAAAAAUCCUAAUUAGCCAAUAAAAUAUGAUACUAAAUUAAUUAAUAGCACUUCAGAUACUUUUAAGCGUUUCUCUUACAAAGAAUUUCAUUACACAGCUAAUGCUUGAUUUAAAUGAGUUCAAAGUCUGUUGAAAAGAAAAAAGUUAAAAGCUUAGGUUAGUGAUGAUUACUUACUCAAAGGGUUGGUGUCAUUCUCACUUGGUUAAAGCUGAAAUCACUCCAAUUAAUGACAUGUGUAAACAUUGUCUGUCGACUUCUUGUGAAGUGGGGUUCUGCCAUUUUUGGUUUGGAAAAAGAUUCCAGCUAAUCCAUAACUACAAAUCUUUGCUUUGUUUAGAACAAACUGUUUGAAAAUGAAAGAGCUUUGAAGACCUCCCCACCCCUUUCUUUUUUUAACACUGGGAAUUGACAGUGUGUAGAUUAGAAUAGAUUAGCUUAGAUUUGACUUGACUAUGAGGAUUGAAGAGAGAUGAUGACUUGUCCCAAUGCUUAAGCUCUGUCCAGCUGGUGAUUUUUUUGACACCCGUAAAGCCACAAACAAGCCAAGUGUCUUCCACUUAUUACCAUUAAUAACUCCAUCACCCAAUUAUGAUGAAACAAUCUAUGCAGUGUUGUACCACUUUGGUUGGUAUGUUUUUUUUCUUUCUUUACAUAAAUUAGGUUCACCUAGAUAACCAUGAACAAAAUCACAUACCCUUCUAGGCAGGCCUUCUAUUCUAUAGAGUAGUACCAUAUAAAAUGAGAAUCUAUCUCUUUCUUAAGAUAAUGUAUCAGUUAGGGGUUUUAAUACCUCAGUCUACCUUAAUUGAAUCAUUACUUAGUUCUUAUCAUAAGGGGGCUAACACGCCAAAAAAGAAAAAAAAAAAGAAUAUAUUUGAAGUAGUUGUCAAUGCUGAAAAAGCAUUUAGUAGCAAAUAGUACUAGUAAUAAUAUUUAUACAUAUGCUUAGUUGGGGCAUAUUAUAGUGUUGAAACAAUGAAACUUACCUGGUUUUGGUGUCUAGUCUUAAAUAGAGUAAAUCUUUUCAACUACCCUUUUACCUACUAUUAUAUUCACUUAUUACUAGUAUGCUGUGCUUGGAAGAAGAACUGAAUUGAAUUCAAGCAAUUAAAAGUAAGGCAGUCAGUAUUACUUAGGUGAUGGAGAUAGAUGAGUAGUAGGAUCAGCUUAAUGUGAUAUAUUGAUAUUGGUAUCUUCAACAAUGCAAAGUCACAUCAUCAUCACAAACCCUUUAAUAAAAAAAAAAAAAAAACUAUUCAAUGUUUGUUUUCAAACCGAUGAAAGAACUCAGUUUAAGCAGAGCAUCAUUAAUAUACUUGUUUUAACUCUCUUUCUCUCUAUAAAUACAUAAAUAUAUUUAUAUUAUUCUAGUCCUGCCAAGGAGGGAAAUUUAGUCCAAUAGGCAUCUUCUUCUCUAUCAGUUAAAACCAAAAUCAUUCAACAAUUCACACAACACAACUCAUAUCAUUUCCAACCUUUCUCUAUUUUGGGCCAAUGCCUUGUUCUGUUUCUUACAAUAUUCUAUUAGGGAAUGGUGCCUUUUUCACCUUUGGGGAAAGAAUGAAAUUUGGGGUCAUUUGGGAUUGGUCAAAACUCUCACAAUAUAACAUUUUGUUUCAUCUAAAAUCUUGCAUGUGGGAAUGAGGUUGUGUUUUCAGAUGGAAAAGCUCAGAUUCUUCUCUGCAAAAAAUUGCUGGUAAUUAUAAUAUAUAUUCUAACUAGUCUCCAAUUUAAAAGGGGGUUGUAUUUAUUAUGAGCUUUAUAUGGUAAAAGCUAAACCCAACUUUCUUCCUUUGUUCUUUCUUUAUACCAAAAUCAAUGAUAAAUAUUCAGA